AUGAGUUUGUUGAUGUAUUCUAAGGUUUCUACUUUGACUGAAGCUCUUUCCACAUUCAAUACAUUUAAAGGGUUUCUCCCCUGUGUGUGUUCGUUGAUGUAUUCUAAGGGCUCCACUUUGACUGAAUCUCUUUCCACAGUCAAUGCAUUCAAACGGUUUCACCCCUGUGUGAGUUCGUUGAUGUAUUCUAAGGGGACCACUACUACUAAAGCUCUUUCCACAUUCAAUACAUUUAAAGGGUUUCUCCCCUGUGUGUGUUCGUUGAUGCAUUCUAAGGUUUUGACUUUGACUGAAGCUCUUUCCACAUUCAAAACAUUCAAACGGUUUCACCCCUGUGUGAGUUCGUUGAUGUAUUCUAAGGUCUCCACUACAACUGAAGCUCUUUCCACAUUCAAUACAUUUAAAGGGUUUCUCCCCUGUGUGUGUUCGUUGAUGUAUUCUAAGGUUUCGACUUUCACAGAAGCUCUUUCCACAUUCAAAACAUUCAAAUGGUUUCUCCCCUGUGUGAGUUCGUUGAUGUCUUCUGAGGGAUCCAUUCUGACUGAAGCUCUUUCCACAUUCAAUACAUUUAAAGGGUUUCUCCCCUGUGUGAGUUCGUUGAUGUCUUCUGAGGGAUCCAUUCUGACUGAAGCUCUUUCCACAUUCAAUACAAUUAAAUGGUUUCUCCCCCGUGUGACUUUGUUGAUGUUUUCUAAGGUUUCCACUUUGACUGAAGCUCUUUCCACACUCCAUACAUUCAAACGGUUUCUCCCCUGUGUGAGUUCGUUGAUGUGUUCUAAGGGUUCCACUACAACUGAAGCUCUUUCCACAUUCAAUGCAAUUAAAUGGUUUCUCCCCCGUGUGAGUUCGUUGAUGUGUUCUAAGGGUUCCACUUUCACUGAAGCUCUUUCCACAUUCAAAACAUUCAAACGGUUUCACCCCUGUGUGAGUUCGUUGAUGUAUUCUAAGGUCUCCACUACGACUGAAGUUCUUUCCACAUUCAAUGCAAUUAAAUGGUUUCUCCCCCGUGUGAGUUCGUUGAUGUGUUCUAAGGGUUCCACUUUCACUGAAGCUCUUUCCACACUCCAUACAUUCAAACGGUUUCUCCCCUGUGUGAGUUCGUUGAUGUGUUCUAUGGGCUCCACUAGAACUCAAGCUCUUUCCACAUUCAAUGCAUUCAAAUGGUUUCUCCCCUGUGUGAGUUCGUUGAUGUGUUCUAAGGUGUCCACUACAACUGAAGCUCUUUUCACAUUCAAUGCAAUUAAAUGUUUUCUCCCCCGUGUGAGUUCGUUGAUGUGUUCUAAGGGUUCCACUUUCACUGAAGCUCUUUCCACACUCCAUACAUUCAAACGGUUUCUCCCCUGUGUGAGUUCGUUGAUGUAUUCUAAGGUCUCCACUACGACUGAAGCUUUUUCCACAUUUAAUGCAUUUAAAUGGUUUCUCCCCCGUGUGAGUUUGUUGAUGUCUUCUAAGGACUCCACUUUGACUGAAGCUCUUUCCACAUUCAAAACAUUCAAACGGUUUCACCCCUGUGUGAGUUCGUUGAUGUAUUCUACGGUUUCCACUUUCACGGAAGCUCUUUCCACAUUCAAAACAUUCAAACGGUUUCACCCCUGUGUGAGUUCGUUGAUGUAUUCUAAGGUCUCCACUACGACUGAAGUUCUUUCCACAUUCAAUGCAAUUAAAUGGUUUCUCCCCCGUGUGAGUUCGUUGAUGUGUUCUAAGGUUUCCACUACAACUGAAGCUCUUUCCACACUCCAUACAUUCAAACGGUUUCUCCCCUGUGUGAGUUCGUUGAUGUGUUCUAAGGGCUCCACUAGAACUCAAGCUCUUUCCACACUGCAUACAUUCUAA
rnacentral:lncRNA from 1 species